UACAGAGGGUGCGAGCGUUGUCCGGAAUUAUUGGGCGUAAAGAGCUCGUAGGCGGUCUGUCGCGUCUGCUGUGAAAACUCGGGGCUUAACCCCGGGCCUGCAGUGGGUACGGGCAGACUAGAGUGCGGUAGGGGAGACUGGAAUUCCUGGUGUAGCGGUGAAAUGCGCAGAUAUCAGGAGGAACACCGGUGGCGAAGGCGGGUCUCUGGGCCGUAACUGACGCUGAGGAGCGAAAGCAUGGGGAGCGAACAGG
rnacentral:rRNA from 1 species